rnacentral:rRNA from 1 species
ACGGAGGGGGCAAGCGUUGUUCGGAAUUACUGGGCGUAAAGGGCGCGUAGGCGGCCUGUUGCGUCAGGUGUGAAAUCCCCGGGCUCAACCUGGGAACAGCACUUGAUACGGGCAGGCUAGAAUCCGGGAGAGGAUGGUGGAAUUCCCAGUGUAGAGGUGAAAUUCGUAGAUAUUGGGAAGAACACCGAUGGCGAAGGCAGCCAUCUGGACCGGUAUUGACGCUGAGGCGCGACAGCGUGGGGAGCAAACAGG